UACGAAGGGUGCAAACGUUGCUCGGAAUUAUUGGGCGUAAAGCGCACGUAAGCGGCUUUGCAAGUCGGAUGUGAAAUCCCUCGGCUUAACCAAGGAAGUGCAUCCGAAACUGCAAAGCUUGAGUACUUAAGAGGAUCGCGGAAUUCCCGGUGUAGAGGUGAAAUUCGUAGAUAUCGGGAGGAACACCAGUGGCGAAGGCGGCGAUCUGGGAAGAUACUGACGCUGAGGUGCGAAAGCGUGGGGAGCAAACAGG
rnacentral:rRNA from 1 species